AAAAAGAAAAGAGGAAUAAUAAUAAAACUGGAAAUAAAAUAAAGUAACGCACAAAUACUCCUUUUUUGUACGUUUUAUGUGCACGCACAUACGUUAUUACAUAUUUUUAAAUUAU
rnacentral:ribozyme from 14 species